CUUUCUCUUGCUGAAAUUCAGGCAAAGCGAAACCAGAAACCAGAAGUGAGGAAGGCACAGAGAGAACAGGCCAUCAGAGCUGCAAAAGAGAAACAGAAAGCUAAAGAUGCUCUAAAGAAACAACAAAAGACUCAGGCCAGCAGAACUUCUCAACCCAAGGUUAAACCAACAAUGAAAGGCGGAGCAGCAACCAAGCCUAGAGUGGGAGGAAAACGUUGAUUCUGGAAAAGGAAAAAAUAAAAAAUACACUACUGG
rnacentral:misc_RNA from 1 species